rnacentral:rRNA from 1 species
GGAGGAUGCAAGCGUUAUCCGGAUUUAUUGGGUUUAAAGGGUGCGUAGGCGGAAUGAUUAGUCAGUGGUGAAAACCCUCGGCUCAACCGGGGACCUGCCAUUGAUACUGUCAUUCUUGAGUACACUUGAGGUGGGCGGAAUGUAUCAUGUAGCGGUGAAAUGCAUAGAUAUGAUACAGAACACCGAUAGCGAAGGCAGCUCACCAAAUUGUAACUGACGCUCAGGCACGAAAGCGUGGGGAGCAAACAGGAUUAGAUACCCUGGUAGUCCCACGCCGUAAACGAUGAUCACUCGCUGUUGGCAAUACACAGUCAGCGGCUAAGUAAAAACCAUUAAGUGAUCCACCUGGGGAGUACGGCCGCAAGGUUG